AUGUCAGGGGAUUGCCCUCUCUGCUCCAGCCUCCGAGCAAUCUACGGGGAAAGACGACCCUCAAGCCCCUGCCUGGGCGAGAAGGGAAUUCCAAAGAAGGGUAACAAACGAACAUGCCGAUGCAGAUGCCCCGCAAUGAUACGAUUGCUCCGAUCAUCUGACAAUGGCUGGUACAUAACCUACUACAGAUCAGAUCACAACCAUGCUCUAACUGAAAGAUGUGGGGAAAAAGUGUACUGGCCUUCCCACAAACAUAUCGAUAUAUACACACGGGAUGUCAUUAAGCAACUCCGUGAAAAUAACAUCAGUGUCGGGAAAGUUUACAAUAUAAUUGGUAGCUUCUUCGGGUCAAUGACCAAUAUACCAUUCACCAAAAGAGCUCUCCGAGGUUUGUGUGGCAAGAUGAGUGGAGAACAAGCCGAUAAUGAUGUGAAAAAGACAAUGGAUGUUUUUGCAGAGUUGGGAGCAAAAGAUUCAGGCUUGUACUGCAGGGUGCAACCUGAUGUUUUUGCAGAGUUGGGAGGAAAAGAUUCGGAGUUGAGCUUGUCGGCGGCCGAUUCGCAGCUAUCAACAGCAAAAGAUGACCCGCAAGCCCCGGGUGGACAAAAAGGGUUCGUAUUGGACGAGCCCCUAUCGAACGUGCACCUUGUGCUGGACGAGUGUGUGCCCUUGAAAAAACAUUAA
rnacentral:rRNA from 1 species